rnacentral:lncRNA from 1 species
CCUAUAGAAGGAAGGAUCAAGCUGUGCAUCUGAAGAGAAGGGUAAUCCUCCAAGUACAAAUGCUACACAGCAUAGAGCUGUCAAUGUGAGAUGAAAAGAAGAAUUCAUUAUAACUUUUCUUAAGUUUUGAACUCUAAAACUUGUGCUUACCACAUAUGUAGUUGAUAUCUAUUUAUUUAUAGAGAGAAAAAUUGUCAUGUGAAUGCAUUGUCCCUGCAUUUCAUUUCUAGAUUUGGUUGUUUAAAUUAACAAUAUUUAAUUUUUC